rnacentral:rRNA from 1 species
CGCCUCUCGCAUUACAUGUAUGAGAGGUAUCGCCUGCCCAGUGACUAUACGUUCAACGGCCGCGGUAUUCUGACCGUGCAAAGGUAGCGCAAUCAUUUGUCUUUUAAAUAAAGACUAGUAUGAACGGCUCCACGAGGGAUCAACUGUCUCCCAUGUCCAAUCAGUGAAAUUGAUUUUCCAGUGCAGAAGCUGGGAUAUUAACAUAAGACGAGAAGACCCCAUGGAGCUUAAGACAUAAGAGCACCUACAACUACUAACCACCCAAAAAGGCACAUCACACAAAAUAGAUUUGACUCCAUGUCUUAGGUUGGGGCGACCACGGAGAAAAAUAAACCUCCGAGCCGAAUGGGGCACUAAUAUCCCCCUUAACCAAGAGCUACAAUUCUAAGUAAUAGAACCUCUAACGGAAUCUGAUCCAAAUAUUUGAUCAACGAACUAAGUUACCCUGGGGAUAACAGCGCAAUCCACUCCAAGAGCCCAUAUCGACGAGCGGGUUUACGACCUCGAUGUUGGAUCAGGACCCCCUAAUGGUGAAGCCGCUAUUAACGUGUUCGUUUGUUCAACGAUUAAAGUCCUACGUGAUCUGAGUUCAGACCGGAGUAAUCCAGGUCAGUUUCUAUCUAUGCAGCAACUUUCCUAGUACGAAAGGACCGGAAAAGUGGGGCCCAUGCAAAAACAAGCCCCCGUCUACUACUAAUGAAAACAACUCAAUAAGUUAUAGACCUAAAACAAAUGCCCUAAUCUAGGGCUA